rnacentral:rRNA from 1 species
CACGGUAGGGUGCGAGCGUUUGUCCGGAAUUAUUGGGGCGUAAAGAGCUCGUAGGCGGUGUGUCGCGUCGGCCGUGAAAACCUGCAGCUUAACUGUGGGCUUGCGGUCGAUACGGGCAUCACUGGAGUUCGGCAGGGGAGACUGGAAUUCCUGGUGUAGCGGUGAAAUGCGCAGAUAUCGAGGAGGAACACCGGUGGCGAAGGCGGG